ACAGGCGCCAGGCUGUGCCAUAGUGUAGUUCUAGCAUCUGUUGUGGGGUUCAGAGUUUUCCAACGUGCAUGCAUCAAAGGGUGCCCAGGAGAACCUAUCCGUCUUGCUUCCAGAAGAUAACUCCAAAAGAUGUGACCUCUCAGAGUUCACACUGCCCAAGUGGAUUGUUUCCUUGGAGGCAUAGAAUCUGCGGAGUUCAAUCAAGUCAUGUCAAGGAGAAAAUCUCUUGUCUUUGCUGGCAUCAUGCAUGACAAAUCCACAUUGCUCAGAGACUCAAAGCAAGAGGUCAGAUGUCAAAGAAGAGACUUCUAGGAGACACCAAGAAAAACAUUCCAAAAAAAGAAAAAGGAAGGAAAGAAAAGAAAACCUAAGAACAGCAAUUUGAAAAACAAACAAGAUAAG
rnacentral:lncRNA from 1 species